AUUGAACGCUGGCGGCAUGCCUUACACAUGCAAGUCGAACGGCAGCGGACCUUCGGGUGCCGGCGAGUGGCGAACGGGUGAGUAAUGCAUCGGAACGUGCCAUUGAGUGGGGGAUAACGUAGCGAAAGUUGCGCUAAUACCGCAUAUUCUGUGAGCAGGAAAGCAGGGGGACCGCAAGGCCUUGCGCUCUUUGAGCGGCCGAUGUCAGAUUAGCUAGUUGGUGAGGUAACGGCUUACCAAGGCGACGAUCUGUAGCGGGUCUGAGAGGAUGAUCCGCCACACUGGAACUGAGACACGGUCCAGACUCCUACGGGAGGCAGCAGUGGGGAAUUUUGGACAAUGGGGGCAACCCUGAUCCAGCCAUGCCGCGUGAGUGAAGAAGGCCUUCGGUGUAAG
rnacentral:rRNA from 1 species